GACGAACGCUGGCGGCGUGCUUAACACAUGCAAGUCGAACGGAAAGGCCCUGCUUGCGGGGUGCUCGAGUGGCGAAAGGGUGUGUAACACGUGUGUGUUCCGCGCCUUACUUUGGGAUAUGACUGCGAAACUGGGUCUAUUACUGGAUAGGACCACGCUGUCGGCGGUGUGGUGGUAAGAUUAGUUUCGGUGAGGGAUGAGGUCGCGGCCGAUCAGCUGGUUGGUGGGGUGGUGGCGUAUCAAGGCGUCGACGGGUGGCCGGCGUCAGAGGGUGGUGGGCGGCAUUAGGGCUGAUGAGCGACCGACACUACUACGGGGGGCGGCAGUGGGGGAUAUUGCACAAUGGGGGGAGGCAUGCUGCAGCAGCGACGCGGGGGGGAGGACGGCCUUCGGGUUGUAGACUCCUUUCAGCCAUGACGAAGCCCUGGUGGUGACGGUAAUGGUAGAAGAAGCACCGGCUAACUACGUG
rnacentral:rRNA from 1 species